rnacentral:lncRNA from 1 species
CCUCUUUUUCUUUUCUUUCUUUUCGUGGCUUUGGCUACCACGGCCGAUCACCGACUUUAUCAGAAAUCCACCAUGAAGGAUCCCCUAUUUUCAUGCUUUUUUCAUGAUUUUUUUGACCAGCCAUCCACCACUAUCGAUUGUCGGCAACCUGCUAUCGCCACCCAUUAUCGGACUUUCGACUAUGAGCCAUCAGCCCCUUCCUCCCC